AAAUUUCAUAUUUGUAAAUGAAAGAAUUUAUUAAAAGUUGAUUUUACAUGAAUAGUGGAUUUGGCAAAAUAUCUACAUAAAUUUGUUAUAAAAUUUACCUCUGGCUGGUGAACUUGGAUAUCUAAGGCCAAUCUAAUGAAAAAAAUACUUGAUGUUGACAGCCAAUGUCAAAAUUUGAAAUUUUACUAUCAGCAAAAGCUAAUUUUGAUAUUUAAACAUGCAAUUAUACAAAUAUUUUGAAAAAUUGCUCAUCAUAAUAUACAAAAUAGUUUAUAUUAUUCUAGUAUGGCCUCUAGUAAAGACUAGCGGAGUGAAACUAGAAAAUUGAGAUUCCCAAACUAUGAAUUAUAUAAAUUUGUGGCCGAUUUUACAAAUUACGAGAAAUUUCAUCAGUUCUGUACAAAAUCAUCUUACUAAACACGAUCAACCUGCGAGUACUAAACAAAAUCGGAAAUAGAAUUUCAUUAAAAGCAAAUUUCAGUAGCAGAUUAAUCCAAAUGCAUUAUGGUUUAUUUAAAAAAUUAUUUAUUUGUGAAGAUUCUGAAACCUCUUUUACAAACUAACACAUUCUACAAUAUCAUCAUCUUUUCACAAUCAAACUAGUAAAACACAAAAAAAUAAAAUAUUUUUGCUGUA